rnacentral:rRNA from 1 species
GACGAACGCUGGCGGCGUGCCUAAUACAUGCAAGUUGAGCGCUGAAGGUUGGUACUUGUACCAACUGGAUGAGCAGCGAACGGGUGAGUAACGCGUGGGGAAUCUGCCUUUGAGCGGGGGACAACAUUUGGAAACGAAUGCUAAUACCGCAUAAAAACUUUAAACACAAGUUUUAAGUUUGAAAGAUGCAAUUGCAUCACUCAAAGAUGAUCCCGCGUUGUAUUAGCUAGUUGGUGAGGUAAAGGCUCACCAAGGCGAUGAUACAUAGCCGACCUGAGAGGGUGAUCGGCCACAUUGGGACUGAGACGCGGCCCAAACUCCUACGGGAGGCAGCAGUAGGGAAUCUUCGGCAAUGGACGAAAGUCUGACCGAGCAACGCCGCGUGAGUGAAGAAGGUUUUCGGAUCGUAAAACUCUGUUGGUAGAGAAGAACGUUGGUGAGAGUGGAAAGCUCAUCAAGUGACGGUAACUACACAGAAAGGGACGGCUAACUACGUG